AUUGUUUGGAAUGGGCCAGCUGGUGUGUUUGAAUUCGAGAAGUUUGCGGGUGGCACCCGAGCUCUCAUGGACUGUGUUGUAAAGGCAACCAACAGUGGUGCUGUUACUAUUAUUGGUGGCGGUGACACGGCCACAUGUUGCGCGAAGUGGGGCACUGAAGACAAGGUCUCCCACGUUUCCACUGGCGGCGGCGCCUCCCUUGAACUGCUC